CUGCUGCCUCCCGUAGGAGUCUGGGCCGUGUCUCAGUCCCAAUGUGGCCGGGCCAACCUCUCAGUCCGGCUACUGAUCGUCGCCUUGGUGGGCCGUUACCCCGCCAACUAGCUAAUCAGACGCGAGUCCAUCUCAGAGCGAUAAAUCUUUGGCAGUCAGAGCCAUGCGACUCAACUGCAUCAUGCGGUAUUAGCAGCUGUUUCCAACUGUUAUUCCCCACUCCAAGGCAGGUUACU
rnacentral:rRNA from 1 species